GGUUCUAUGGUGUAAUGGUUAGCACUCUGGACUCUGAAUCCAGCGAUCCGAGUUCAAGUCUUGGUAGAACCU
rnacentral:tRNA from 1 species